GAUGAACGCUGGCGGCGUGCCUAAUACAUGCAAGUCGAGCGAACAGACGAGGAGCUUGCUCCUCUGACGUUAGCGGCGGACGGGUGAGUAACACGUGGAUAACCUACCUAUAAGACUGGGAUAACUUCGGGAAACCGGAGCUAAUACCGGAUAACAUGUUGAACCGCAUGGUUCAACAGUGAAAGACGGUCUUGCUGUCACUUAUAGAUGGAUCCGCGCUGCAUUAGCUAGUUGGUAAGGUAACGGCUUACCAAGGCAACGAUGCGUAGCCGACCUGAGAGGGUGAUCGGCCACACUGGAACGGAGACACGGUCCAGACUCCUACGGGAGGCAGCAGUAGGGAAUCUUCCGCAAUGGGCGAAAGCCUGACGGAGCAACGCCGCGUGAGUGAAGAAGGUCUUCGGAUCGUAAAACUCUGUUAUUAGGGAAGAACAAAUGUGUAAGUAACUAUGCACGUCUUGACGGUACCUAAUCAGAAAGCCACGGCUAACUACGUG
rnacentral:rRNA from 1 species